GUAAUUUGAGGACUACCUGUACAGCAUACCACGAUCUAUGAAACUGUCAGUGAAAUAAUACAGGUAUUGGAUGUAUGCCUCAUUUUUCUAUAUUCUGGGAGCAACUUCAAAAUAUUGGAGGGGGGGGGAAUCUCCACCUUCAUAAAAAGCAGCGCAUUCUGCAAAUUGUUCCCGUUCGCGCCCAAGCCGAUUUUUUUUUUACUGCAUUUUCUAAACCAGGGCUAGAAAAUCCGGAAGCGGAGGGCCCCAUUGGUCCUCCCGGCAAACGAGUUCCGAUUGUAUCUUGGCGGCGCCCGCGAGGUACCUCAAGGCGGCGGGGAGAAGGCCGCCAGUCCGUCUGGCCGGCGCGCGUCUCCCCUGCGAGGGCCUUGGCGGGAGCGGCCCGGUGGGGCUCCCGGCCGGCUCGAGGGGGCGCUGCACCGGGAGGCCCGCGCUGGGAAGGGGGGCGGGGGUGAAAGCGCGUGCCGGCUGCUGCUGGCCCUGCCUCUCUCUCGAGCGGGCGCCGGAGAGGCAAAGCAGCCCGGUCUCUCCCAUCCCGGCGCUCCGGCAGCGGCGCCCGCGGGGGUCCGGACGGGGGAGGCCAGCCGCCGCCGCCAUGAAAGACUGCGAAUAUCGGCAGAUCCCCCCGGGCACCCCGGCUGCCCCCGCCGCUUCUGGACCCCCGACCUCCGUGGCCACCAGCGCUACCCCCGCGACUCUGGCUUCGCGGCCCCGCCGCAAGUGGGAGGUUUUCCCUGGGCGCAACCGGUUCUAUUGUGGCGGGCGCCUCAUGCUGGCGCGGCACAGCAGCGUCUUUCUCCUCACGGUCGGCCUCAUUGUGGUCACCAGCGGCCUCUUCUUCGCCUUCGACUGUCCAUUCCUGGCUCAUAACUUGACCAUGGCCAUUCCUAUCAUUGCUGGCAUCCUGUUCUUUUUUGUCAUCAGCUGUUUGCUACAAACCAGCUUCAGGGAUCCCGGUAUUUUGCCCAGGGCCACCCCCAGUGAAGCUGCAGAUCUGGAGAAAUGGAUUGACAACCUCGGCACUUCCACUUAUCGGCCACCUGCCCGAACCAUGGAAGUUGUAAUAAACAAGUAUAUGGUGAAAUUGAAAUAUUGCUACACGUGUAAAAUGUUCCGUCCACCCAGGACUUCCCAUUGCAGUGUCUGUGACAACUGUGUUGAACGAUUUGAUCAUCAUUGUCCCUGGGUAGGCAACUGUGUGGGGAAGCGGAACUAUCGAUUCUUCUAUGCCUUCAUCCUUUCUCUCUCCUUCUUAACAGCCUUCAUCUUUGCUUGCGUCAUCACCCACCUUGCUCUGCGCUCCCAGGGAAACGAUUUCCUCACUGUUUUGAAAACAGCACCAGCAAGUCUGUUGGAAUUGGUGAUCUGUUUUUUUUCAGUCUGGUCUAUUUUUGGCCUCUCAGGGUUUCACACUUACUUAAUUGCCUCCAAUUUGACAACCAAUGAGGAUCUCAAGGGGGCAUGGUCAAAUAAGAGAGGUUCUGAAUUUGCCAACCCUUAUAGCCAUAAAAGUGUCCUAACCAACUGCUGUGCAGUGCUCUGUGGGCCAUUUUACCCCAGUUUAAUAGAUAGAAGAGGAUUUAUCCAGGCAGAUGCUGGGACUCCCUCCACACCUAAGGGUGAAAUCCCUUCCUUUGGAACAAAAUCUGAUGCCAGCAUGGUAUGAACCAACACUUUAGCAACGCUGACAUACAUAUCUAAUGCCUACCUCCAGCUGGUGCCUCUCCUAUCUUUUACCAUUAUCUGGGCUCAGGCAGACAGCCUCAUGGAGCAGAAUCUCCAGAAUUCAUAUUCAAACCAGAGGCACUGGCCUUGUACUGAUUUUUUAAUCGGUUUGAUUUUUUUUAAUAUUUGGGGACUUAACCGGCCAUUGUUCACUGUUGCAAUUAAGCCUCUAGGUAGGACCUGCUGCCAUCUUGAGAUAGAGAGAUAAAAUACUUAGAGCAGAGAAUGCAAGGGAUUGGGAGAUUCCAGCUUCAUGAGAAAUAUCUUUUAUUGGAGGUUUUUGUUGGAAAGAUUGGUAGAAACAAGCAUAGUUAGUUUUCAUAUGGAGCUGUUAUAACAGAAUCAUUUCCUAAAGUAUUCUGCGUACUAUAUUUGUUCCAACAAUGUUAAUGUUACACUGUUUGUCCUGACAUUCUGCCUGAAUGUUGCAAAAGAAUAAUUGGUGCUCCUUAAACUGUAAGAGAGGGACAUGAAUCAUUUGAGGACCCAGCACUACCUUGCCUUACCAGCAAGUAUUGCUUGCUGAGGAACUUAGCCUGAGUGGCUCUUUUGGGUAGAAGUUCUCUAGAAAUGAUCAUAAAGAAAGUCUAUAGGAUCAGAAGCAGAAAAUUAUUUCUUAUUCUGGGAAUUGACUCAGGAUUGUCUAUUUCAGCUGAAUCAGGAUUAGAGCAAUAAGUUUCUAUAGGUUAUUUAUUUAAUAGGUGGAACAAAAUUAAAGAGAUCAGUUGGAAAUUCUUAAAUUAUGUCAUUCCAGAUGAGUUGUACUUAACCUGGUGCCCAUGGACAACUGUGCCACUUUUGUGUGGGGUAUAGUGGUUUGUAUAAGUAAGGCAUGUUCACUAAAGGCUGUUUCAGCAAAACCUACGUGUAUACAAGCAUUAUCUAAAACAGAAUUAUAAGAAGAAGUCCAUUUAACUUGGAUUUCUGAUUGUUUCUUUAAAGAAGGAGGGAUCCUGCUUCCUCUUGCUGAAUUUUCGUACAAUUCCACAGUUCCCAUCCCAUGGCACGAGAGAGCCCUUGCCCAUAGAUAAAAGCUAGAUGCUUGAAAUGUGUUUAUUAAAGCUGCUGGGAAUUUUUGCACAAAUUUUAUAAUUUUUUUCUAGCAGCGUUAUUUUGUCUUCUAAAAAAAAAUCAUUUUUACUGUCUGUAAACCUGUGUCCAGAAGCUGUUUUUUAAAGUGUUAUAUGUUAUUUCCUGGAUUUUACCAGCCAUUAGUAGGAAAUGGGGAACCUGUAGAACUCGCUCAUCCAAGGUGUUAGAUUUCAUUUCUUGUACUGUAUUCGAAAACAUCUAGAAGCUCCCUGGAUGGGUUAAUCAGCUAUGCAACAAUAAGAUAAUCCCUGUUGACCUUUGAAAACUGGGGUUUAUGAGAAAUUGAAUGGGAUUUUAUAUUUCCAAGAAAACAAGAAUAAGCACGUAAGUGUACCUUUCUCCCUCCUGCUUCUGCAGAGGAACUAAGAAGCACUCUUUUUAUUAAAGAAAAAAAAAUGCAAUCACUGUGGUCAGGAGUUCCCCAUUCUCGCCUUUCUGCCAAUUUAUUCCAUUCACUGUUGUGGGCUGUGUCUUGAGUAUCUCCAUCAUAUUUAGCAACGGAAACCACUGCUCUGGGCAUGUGGCUGACUUUUGAUAGGAAGAUUUAGUUGAAGAGCGAGUUGUCCAAAUCCUUUAAGGUGAAUCAUGACAACUGAUCUGAAGUAAGGUAGCUCAUCUGUGGGUAUAUUUUUGCACCCUUCCUAAAAUGUUUGACAUUACUAGAAGGAAUAAUGCUGUGUCUUCAGCAUGUCUGUCCUAAGUUGGAGCACUUCAUGAAGAAUUGCUAUGGCAUCUCUUGGCCUGUUUUAUAUUUUAGCUGAUUUUUCUGACAAAGUUGUAAGAAUGGGUAGUACAUACUACCGGUGCUCCCUUUCUGGUGUUUGAGUCUGAUUUUAAAAUUAGCUGAGGCAUUAGGCAAGAGUCACUGAGAUGUUCUGGUGAAGUUCAGAAGUUUUCAUAGCAGUUUCCAACAGCUAAAUGUGGCUGCAGUGAUAUGUGAUAUCAUUGUAAUUAUAUUCUGAUGCAUAUCACAGCUAGGAAAGCCUCUGUAUAACUCUCACAAUCCCCAGAAGUAUUGCUGCUCUCAGGACUCCACUUUCUGAUCACUAUAGAGCAGGGUUGAGAACCCCUGCUAUAGUGCAUAGUUCUCUUUCUGGGACAAUUAGAAAGGCUUUUCCCAACGGUAUGCUGGCUGAUGUAUGGGAGAGAUAUUUUUAUUCUGUGCCAUUUAGAUAAGUGCCAAUGCUGGGGUAUUUUAAUAAUAGUAGGCUUAAACCUAAAGGUUGAAACUGCUACAUCAUCGGUUCUGCCCUGUAAGAUCCCUGUCUCUGCAGUCCUGGGCUCUAUCACCUUGCAUGAACAGCUGAACUGCUCUGGGAACAGUUCCCAGAGAACCACUUUCAUGGCUCUCAACUUUUUGGGGAGGAAGCCUUAUCUGUAAUCUGUAAUCACGUAUAUGUGAGAGGUUGACUGAUGGAACCCGAAUGGCUCUUGGAGCUACAAAUAGGCACCCAGAAUAAUCUGGUUUUGAUCUCAGAAGGCUGUUCAUAACUUAUUUCUUUCAGAAAUGUAAUCAGACGGGAGGGUGAGAAUUCUGGAAGCGUUUUUAUGGUUAGGAAAGAGAAGAGUUGUUCUUAUUGAAGAAACGUUUGUGUUGCUCUUUAAGGCAUUACUGUAUAACGUGGCGGGGGAAGAAAUUGUAAGCAGUGUUCCAUUUGUGUGGUAAACACUCUUACGAUGACUAACGCUUUUGUAAUAAAAAUGUUUUUUUUUAAAGA